UACGUAGGGCGCAAGCGUUGUCCGGAAUUAUUGGGCGUAAAGAGCUCGUAGGCGGCUUGUCGCGUCGACUGUGAAAACCCGCGGCUCAACUGCGGGCUUGCAGUCGAUACGGGCAGGCUAGAGUUCGGUAGGGGGAGACUGGAAUUCCUGGUGUAGCGGUGAAAUGCGCAGAUAUCAGGAGGAACACCGGUGGCGAAGGCGGGUCUCUGGGCCGAUGACUGACGCUGAGGAGC
rnacentral:rRNA from 1 species